UGAGAUGAACAGCACUUUUAUUUAUUUCAGUUACAAGAAGAAAGACAAGUAAACCUUACAACGAGAAAGGCAAUGAAGGCCUCAUGAGCUCAGUGAUAAUCACUUCAUAAUCUAGGCAACAUGUUAUGAUUUCUUGAGAUCACAAAGAAAGCAUACCCCAAUCUUGAACAACUUUUCCUUGUUUCUGUAAAGAAGUUUCCUGUUAGCAGAAACAAGGACCACCGAUGUACAAAGCCUACAUUCACCCUCCCGUUCCCCCUCAAAAGGCUUAAGUGUAGACUUUAUUCCAAAAAAGUUAACAUGCAGUCAUGAUCACAGCUAGAAGAGAGGGAAAAAUUAAAGUCUGUCAUCAUAUGAAGUUAAAUUAUGAUGUGUUAAUGAAAUUAAAUGGAGAUACUUUCUCACAUGGUAGUGUACUUCAUGGGUAAAGAAACUCUUGUCAUUUUAAGCCAAUGCUUAUUUAACUAUUGUAGUAGGGAGAAAACAGCUUCCAUAAAAACUGAUCCCCCUACCAAGCACUCUAGGUAAGAACUAUGACUUAAGGUGCUAGAAAUAUGUGGGAGAAAUCACUAUACAAAGUGUCAAGUGCAAACCCCCCUUGCCUAGAAUUCAGUGUAUUUACUUAAGUACAAUAGAAAAGACUGAAUUCAGGAGUGGUUGACAGUGCGAUAGUGCUACAGGUUGAGCAUCAUCCAUUAAAGGACAAACCCAAGCAUGCAUGUAUCCACCACAAGGGAGAGAUACGCUUGAGCUUCCUCACCUGCUCAUUUCUGCCCUUUGCUCUAACCGUAACUUCUUCAGUCAAUCGCUAGCAGGUCAGUUUUCGUGCACAAGAUGUUAAUCAACUGAAAAAUGUAUUUUCACCCGUGCUGUAUGUCAGUUCUCAGUUUCCCCUCACUUAAGUGGUCAGGGAUACAUUUAUCAUGCAGUACUCACAGAAAGUCUCAGAAUUUCAGGCAGACCUAUUCAUUCCCAAGGAGUAUCCUUUUGGCUCAGUGAAGACUUUUGAGUAUUUUAGCUUACAUUCAUUCUGAAGGCAGCCACCAUUACUCCAUUUACCCAAAGUACUAUUGUUAGUGGGGCUGUUACCAUCUUGAAAUUGCACUGUAAAGUUAACCAGCAAUAUAAAAGAGUACUUUUCAGUGUUUCCAGUGAAGGAGCUGAGAAGAAAAAAUCAUCUGUAAGAAACCAUUGCUGCAAUUUUAUUUUAACAAAAGGGCAGAUUUAUUCAUGUUUACAAACAAGUUUCAAAAACAAAAAGGAGAACAUGUAUGCUACCCACUAACAACCUUUCAAAAUGCCAACAGCCCUCAUGCUGCAUGAAGGAUUCUAUAGAUUAGGGG
rnacentral:lncRNA from 1 species